CUGAGCAAGCUUCGGGACGGGAGCCUUGCCUUCAAAACUCAUUACAACUUCCAUUUCUUUGCUGUUCCUUUUGGAAAUAUUUUCAUCGGUUGAAGAAGUCAGACUUGCUAACCACUGCUCCAAGACGCUUCAAUUAUGUCCAGACUUCAGACUUCUCAUUGGUUUGCCUGAAACGCGUGUGCAUCAGUCAGAGACAGCAGAGGCAGACGGAAGAGACUGUGGAGCCAGACUGCCCAGAUGGAAUCUGUGGGACCUUGGGAAGUGAGUGAUCCCGUGCCUGGUCUCCACGUCUGUCAAAUGGGGAUGAUACUAAUGCCUGCCUCUGAGGGGGCUGAGUGGAUUCCUGGCAGGGCAGCUGGACCUUGCCUGAUCCUGGUAAUAUUCCACUAGUAAAGAUUAGCACUUAUUAUAUGCCGUUAAUAUGGUUGAAACACUUGGGUACCUUAUUUCACACGAUGGCAAUAACUUAUGAAAUCAGAAGUGUAAAAUGAAUCAUAAGUUACAUGCUCUGGAAAC